CCCAUGAGUUCUGAUGAAGGUUUGAAAGGUUUGUAUUUCCCAGAGAAGACUGGUAUGGCCCCUGUGCAAGGACGACAUGCAAAUUUGUGAAGUGUUCCAUGAAAAA
ensembl:snRNA U6 U6 spliceosomal RNA